UACGAAGGGGGCUAGCGUUGUUCGGAAUCACUGGGCGUAAAGCGCACGUAGGCGGAUUUGUCAGUCAGGGGUGAAAUCCCGGGGCUCAACCUCGGAACUGCCUUUGAUACAGCAAAUCUCGAGUCCGGAAGAGGUGGGUGGAAUUCCUAGUGUAGAGGUGAAAUUCGUAGAUAUUAGGAAGAACACCAGUGGCGAAGGCGGCCCACUGGUCCGGUACUGACGCUGAGGUGCGAAAGCGUGGGGAGUAAACAGG
rnacentral:rRNA from 1 species